rnacentral:rRNA from 1 species
GAUGAACGCUGGCGGCGUGCCUAAUACAUGCAAGUCGAGCGAACAGACGAGGAGCUUGCUCCUCUGACGUUAGCGGCGGACGGGUGAGUAACACGUGGAUAACCUACCUAUAAGACUGGGAUAACUUCGGGAAACCGGAGCUAAUACCGGACAAUAUAUUGAACCGCAUGGUUCAAUAGUGAAAGACGGUUUUGCUGUCACUUAUAGAUGGAUCCGCGCCGCAUUAGCUAGUUGGUAAGGUAACGGCUUACCAAGGCAACGAUGCGUAGCCGGCCUGAGAGGGUGAUCGGCCACACUGGAACUGAGACACGGUCCAGACUCCUACGGGAGGCAGCAGUAGGGAAUCUUCCGCAAUGGGCGAAAGCCUGACGGAGCAACGCCGCGUGAGUGAUGAAGGUCUUCGGAUCGUAAAACUCUGUUAUUAGGGAAGAACAAAUGUGUAAGUAACUAUGCACGUCUUGACGGUACCUAAUCAGAAAGCCACGGCUAACUACGUG